GACGAACGCUGGCGGCGUGCUUAACACAUGCAAGUCGAACGGAAAGGCCCUGCUUUUGUGGGGUGCUCGAGUGGCGAACGGGUGAGUAACCCGUGAGUAACCUGCCCUUGACUUUGGGAUAACUUCAGGAAACUGGGGCUAAUAGCGGAAAGGAGCUCCUGCUGCAUGGGGGGGGUUGGCAAGUGUCGGCGGUGGGGGAUGGACUCGCGGCUUAUCAGCUUGUUGGUGGGGUAGUGGCUUACCAAGGCUUUGACGGGUAGCCGGCCUGAGAGGGUGACCGGCCACAUUGGGACUGAGAUACGGCCCAGACUCCUACGGGAGGCAGCAGUGGGGAAUAUUGCACAAUGGGCGGAAGCCGGAUGCAGCAACGCCGCGUGCGGGAUGACGGCCUUCGGGUUGUAAACCGCUUUCGCCUGUGACGAAGCGUGAGUGACGGUAAUGGGUAAAGAAGCACCGGCUAACUACGUG
rnacentral:rRNA from 1 species